rnacentral:lncRNA from 1 species
UUGGAGAUGGUGGAGGUGGAGAUUGGAGGAAGAGAGUUGUAGUAGUAGUAGGGUGAAUGAGGCUUAGGAGAUGGUGGAGGUAGAGAUUUAUAGUAUUAAGAUGUUUGAGAAUAAAUACGUAUGUUGAAGAUCUAAUUUAUUAUGUUAUUAAUUUGUAAAAAAUUAUUCUUUAUUUUAUUAUCAUAUUCAUUAUUAAAUUGUUAAUUUGAUAAGUCAUUGAUUAAAAUUAGAUGUUUGUUAUCAUGAUAGAGAUUAUGAUAAUGAGAAACAAAUUUUUUAUAAUUUUAAUUCAAAUUAUUCUUGAUAGUAUGAUUAUCGUGAAUAGGACAUCAAUAAUCAUGAUAGAUUAAUAUAUAUGUAAUGAUCUUUAUUGAAUAAAGAUUAAUAAAUUUUUAUUGAAUAAUGAUCUUUAACACGAGAUUAUCAUAGUAAUUAAUAAGUUAUUGGUAUAUUUUAAUUUCGGAUGCCUAAUGUCUUAGAACACUAGUUGAAUGAAUAUUAGAUAUGAUUAAAUACUUGUAAAAUUAAUGAUUAAUCAAGAAGGAAUCCAUCAAUUCUAGGUAAUGAGUUUGAGUUCUAUUUUAGAAUUAAGACAUUGACUAAGGCAAUUGAAUGAAAGAAGAAAAUAGUUUCUUAAGUCAUUCAUGUGUUAGCUUAUUAGAGUUUGACAAUAAUACUAUACUCUAGAGUUAACCUAUGAUGGAAGCAAAUAUUAUAUUCUUCUUCUAUUGGUUCUCGAAGGGAAAAAGAUUUUGUUUCAGGUUAUCCGGACUUUAAGGAGUGUUGUUAAACGCCUAACUUGAUUAAUAAAUUAAUUAUGAUUAAUUUAUUAUCAAUUUAGUAUUGAACCUACAAGGUCACACACAAACGAGUAUUUCAAUAUUUACAAAAGAAAAUAAUUUAUUUUGAUAAUUAAAUUAGAGAAUUUAAUUUAAUCAAAUAAAUAUUUUAGUGAAAUAUUAUUAUAUUUUUUGCUAGGACCAAUAAUAUAAUUAAUAUAUAAAAAGGGAAUAUUAUUUUAUAAUUGUGAAGAUGUCCAUAAAAUAAGAAUAAUAUUCAAUUGCUAUGUAUCAAGGAUGUGAUUAAUUAUUGUAAUUAGUUAUGUGAUUAAUUAUGAAUUAUCUUUAUCUUAAAUCAGUAAGCUUCUUAAAAUAAAAUAUAUGAGAUAAUAUUUUUUUUAUAAAGACAAAUAUAAAUGAAAUUAUUUUAUAUAUUUUCUUUUUUUUCUCACCCAAAUCCAUAUCUCUUUAAUAUUAUGAAUAAAAGUAUCUAUAUGAGGCAAAGCGUACUAAAUAAAGACUGAAAAAGGUUCAAGUCUAGUUUUAGACGUGAAAAGUAGAAAAAAAAUUAUUCUUUAGAGUUUCAUCCAUCAAAGAAUUUGAUAAUAAAGAUUGACCUGAGUAUAGAUACAAGUAGAGUUUUUAGACUAUUAAAAAAAAUGUGUUGCUUCAAAACCUACAUUUUGAUGCAUUAAUUUAUUAUUUAUUUAUUUAUUAUUAUUGUAUAUUUUGAAUAUAAAAUAAAUCCUAAUUUUUUUCCUACAAUUAUUAGAAACAUUUUUAUGUAACUAUCAUACUACACACACGAGGAUAUGAGGAUAUGGUGAAUGAGGUGGUGGAAACUUAUAAUAGUAAGUUGGAAGAGAUGGUGGAGGAGAAGAUUUGUAGGAAUAAGGUAUUGGACGACUUCAUUUUGUGGAAAGAGUCAUGAUUUAAUUUGUUUUUCCUCUCCUUCUCUUAAAAUUUAGUUAUGCCCGUAUAUCUUAUUGAAAACCACAUUUUUUUAGUCUUUCUGGACUGGAUACCCCUACCCCUGGCCAUGAUCAUAAUUCAUAACUAUUAUAUAUAUAUUACACGUAUUUUAUUUGUAACAAAUGGUAUAUCGAUGAGUUUUCUGAAUGUUUGAUCACAUGGAAAAUUUCUGAACGCGUCCUAGAGACUGAAACAGUUUUAUUUGCGCAAUAUAGAGUGUCGGUUUACUAAAAGAACGCACAGAUAGAUAUAUAUCUAUUCCAAAAUGAAGCGUAUGUAUACACGGAAUGAAAAAUGAUUAGUAAUAAUAAAUUAAUUUUACGAAAAUUUAUAAUUCUUUUAUUUUUUAUCUCUCUUAGUCGUUAAAAAGAUUAUGUAAAAUAUUGUAUGAGGACAGUUUCUUAAUAGAAACAUUCUAAUGCAUGUGAUACGUACGGAAUUAUUAUAAUUACAGUUGCACGAAGUAUAUUAUUAAUUAAUAUUCUCCUGUUAACAACCUUUUUUAUUGAGUAGUGUUUUUUCAUUGGAGGAAAUCCUUAAAUAUAUUUUUGGUGAAUCUAAGUUUACUUAAGCGGUACAUUAAUUAGAAAAAAAUAUUUUUUCCCCUAUUUUGUUUAUAUAAGUAAAAAAGUGAGAAUUAUAUGAACGUGCGAAGUGUGUGUAUGAGAUAAUAUUUGUUUUACAUAAUAUACCCUAAAUCAUAAAAGAAGCUUCACUGUGUAACUUAAAUUAAAAUUUGUAUAUCUCCCCCAUGUGCGUCUGACUACUGUUACCAUGCAUAUUCUAAUUAAGAACCCUGUUAGUGCCUUUCUUCUUUUUAUCCUCUUUCCUUCAUGAUCACCAUUGUUAAAUGGCAGUCAAUUCCAUGUACGUAUUGCAUCUCUGAAUUCAAGUCUAGCUGUCUCAUCGAGUUUAAUUUGUGAUAAUUGGUCUCAAGUAAAAAAGACCACUAAUUUGAUCAUUAAAUAUAUAUAUAUAUAUAUAUAUAUAUAUAUAGACAUAUAUAUAUAUAUAUAUAUAUAUAUAUAUAUAUAUAUAUAUAUAUAUAUAUAUAUAUAUAUAUAUAUAUAUAUAUAUAUAUAUAUAUAUAUAUAUAUAUAUAUAUAUAUUGAACAAUGCUAAUUAAAUACCAUAUAUAGUCAGAAAUAGAUCAGUGGGGGGUGCAUGUAUGUUAAGUUAGAAAGAGAUAAGAUCGUGGUUGUGGCAUAUAGACGUGCAUGGGGUGGUGUGGCUUAUAUGAUAUGAGAAAAUCAAGUAAUUGCAGGCAUUUUUUUUAAAAAAUAAAAUGACUUCAUUAAUCGUCUCCAACAUCAGUUAUAUAUAUUGACAUGUUUUUUAAAAUAAUCAAAACUGUCUCGCUCCCAAAUCCCUCUCACUUCUUUUCUUCCCUCUCACUGGCUUAGGGAUUUUCACUUUCGAAAAACAUGACUUAGGCCAUAAUUGAAGCCAUUAGACAGUAAUAUAUCAUAUGAGCAGGGGCCAAUCCAAACUCAAAUGGCUGUGAGGACCGAUAAUAAAAAAUAAAAUUCAUCUAACACAUCAUAAAAAUAUAUAUUCAUAAAUUAAUGUUUUAAAAUGUUAAUUACAAUAAUAAUCUAUUAAAACACGGGACCUUAUUCUUAUAUGUACUAAAUUUUUUAUCAAUUCUUCAAUGUAUAUUAACAAAAUGUGAAUCAAGAAUCCAUCUUUCAUCUUCUUUAAUAAUUAUAGAUUAACAAAAUUUGAGAAAAAUAAAACCUACUAUAUAAUAAGUAGAAUUAGUCAAAUAUAAUAUUCGGAUAAGAUAUUUUACAAAAAAAGAAAUAAAAUUACUAUUGAUUUUAUAAUUUAAAAUUACAGAAAAUAAAAAUUGAUGGUAUAAUAACAAAAAUUGUUAAAAAAUAAUAUUUAAAUAUUUUUUUUAAAAAAAGACAAAAUUGCUAUUGAUUUUAUAGUUUGAAAAAAAAGAGAUAAAAACAAUUAUAUAAAUUGAUGGAUUUGAAUCCAUCCAUUUUUUUUUAUGGAUAAAUUAGAUGAAUUUAUUGUGGAUGAAUUAAUUGGAUAAUGGAUAAAUGAAUUCAUUUGUCACCACUAGCCUGGGACCUAGUCAUGUCCACCAUAGUGGAAAAGUUAUUUUGACCAUUGGAUUUAAAUUUUUCUUGAGAUAAGUGCAGGCUUAUCUUAAGACAAGUUACACUGGAUUAUUAUUAUUAUUAUUAUUAUUAUUAUUAUUAUUUUCCUUAAAAAGUGUUAUUCUUUCCUGUUCUAGUUUAUCGCCCCUUUCUUUCUCUCUCCGACUCUCCCUUCCAUCUACUUAUUCUCCUCCUCCCCUUUUUCAAAAUGUCAUGCUUCUUCGGUGACCUCAACAACUUCUUUGUCAUCAAGCUCCUCGUCGGACACGUAGUUAGCUAUGGUAGGAUUUGAAUACGAAAGAAUGGGCUUCAACGUCCACAAAAUGCUGAUUGGUGCGAUUGUUACUUUAAUGCAAGUGUAGGUAGGUUUGGAGCUUUGAUGUAGGUUUGGGAUAUGUGUGUGUGUGUGGAAAGAAACACGACCUAAAUUUAGGGGAUAUGUAGAUUAUUAUGCUUUUUUAUGCAAAUAUUGACAAAUUUAUUGCAAACAACACAAAAAGAUAUAUUAAAAGAAUUUCACAAUAAUUUGAAUGAAAUCAUACACAAUCAACCAUAUUAAUCUACAAAGAAACAAAUAAGAAAGCUCUAAAAGCAGCCUGAAUUGAUAUCAACAUUUCUAAUCUUGCUUCCUUGUCUUGAAUCUUUUUGAUUUGUCGCUUCCUUGAACUUAGUAAGAACAACACUUGAAAAAUGGCCACCAAAUAAAUAGAAGCAACCUCAUAUGAGUCAUGAAGAUCGUAGCUUAGAGGUGAUACACUCAGACUCUUAUUCAAAGAACUUGUAUAACAAAUUAUAUGCUUAACUCUGCUCCAAAUGGAACGGAAAUUUAUUCCACAAUGAAUACUAGAACCUGAAAUAAAAUAAAAGUUUUCAAUACUUCUCAGAGUUUAUAAAUGCAUAUAAAAUAGACAUUUAUCUANNNNNNNNNNNNNNNNNNNNNNNNNNNNNNNNNNNNNNNNNNNNNNNNNNNNNNNNNNNNNNNNNNNNNNNNNNNNNNNNNNNNNNNNNNNNNNNNNNNNNNNNNNNNNNNNNNNNNNNNNNNNNNNNNNNNNNNNNNNNNNNNNNNNNNNNNNNNNNNNNNNNNNNNNNNNNNNNNNNNNNNNNNNNNNNNNNNNNNNNNNNNNNNNNNNNNNNNNNNNNNNNNNNNNNNNNNNNNNNNNNNNNNNNNNNNNNNNNNNNNNNNNNNNNNNNNNNNNNNNNNNNNNNNNNNNNNNNNNNNNNNNNNNNNNNNNNNNNNNNNNNNNNNNNNNNUGGUGAUGGUGAUGGUGGCGGGGGAGAUUUAUAGUAAUAUGGAGGAGGUGAUGGUGAUGGUGGAGGAGGGCUCUUGUAGUAAUAAGAAGGUGGGGGAGGAGAUUUGUAAUAGUAUGUUGGUGGUGGUGGAGGUGGUGACUUAUAGUAGUAAGGAGGGUGUGGGUGCGGUGAGGGUGAAGGGGGUGGGGGAGAGUUGUAAUAAUAUGGUUUGUGAUAAGGAGUAGGGGAAGGCUUGGGCUUGGGCUUUUCGCAAUCAUAUGACUUUUCAGGAGCAUAAGCAAAUGGCUUAGCCUUGAGCACAACUUCAUACUUAUCCUUGGACUUCACCUUCAAUUUGGUUCCCUCAUUAAGCUUGGUGGGUAUGUUACAGCGUGAAUCCUUAGGAGGAGCAUGGAGUUUAGCCUUGCAGACUGUGGCUCCAUAUUUCACAUAGUCAAAGCCUUCAACAGUGAUGCUGUACUUUCCAUUGCUCUUAGUUUUACCAUAAGCUUUUAUGGUCUUGCUCCCAACUUCACAAGUCACUUCGACCGUGGCACCUAAUUAACGAUGCCAUUAAAUGUGUGGAUCGCACAUGUUAUUGACAAAUCAAUCUAACAUAUAAAACCAUGACAUUAUUGUUUUCUUUAAUUUUAACGGAAGGAAAUGUUUUGUGAACACAAAAUGGGAUAAUAAAGUUAUUUCUUAUAACAUUAUGAUGUGUUUUUAAAACACGUGUACGAAAAAAAAGAAGCAUGUGUUACAUUAAUAAAUCUUUAUUUUUAAAGGUUUAAAUAAUAUAAAUAAAAUUAAAAUAGUUAACCUAUCCUAGCUUUUUCAUAUUUUGAUUGUUGGCUUCAUUGAUUACAUAAGAAAUAGUCGAUUCUAAACAAUAUUUUCUAUUUUCCAACAAAAAUUGUAUUUUUUUUUAUUGAAAUUCCAACUAAAGUCCUCUUCAAAAAAAAAUUGACAACUUUCUGUUUGAAAAGGGUAAUAUAGGUACUUUAAAAAGUAGUAUAUGUUUAGGUUGGUCAUUUGUUUAAUUAGUUAGCAUAGAUCAAGAUUCUCAAAAAUAUUUUUUUGUUAAAAUAUUUUCUCAAAUUGAAACAUGUUUUAUUUCUUAAUUGAAAUGAUAAUUACAAAAAAAAACUAGUUGACUAAAUAAAAAAAGGAGAAAUUAUAACUGUAAAAUUAUUUUAUAUUAGUUUUUUUUACAAAUUUUAUAGAGAAAAGAAAAAAAUGAGAAAAUAUCAAAUAAUUAAAUGAUUUAAUAGAAAAAAUAAAAAAAUAUGACUAAAAUACUAUAAGAAUAUUAUAUUGUAUUAAAAACAACUGUUUAUGUAUAAAUGCAGUUGAACUUCUCUAGACACAACAACACACACAUAACAAUAUCGAUGUAAUUAUACAAAUAAAAAUAUGAGCUUGAAAAAGAAAAAUUAAUUAAAGAAACAUAUAUGGCAGCCAAUGUCCCAAAUUAAAAUUUUGAGAAAAACAAAAGUACAGAUUAAUAUUACCAAAAAGUAACAUUUUUGAAGUAUUCAUAAUAUUAUUAUUGUGAAUGUAUUAGAAUGAAAUAGUAAAAAAAUAAAAGUAAUGUAGGUACCUUUGAGGUGUUUCUUGUUGUGCGACUUUUGGGGGUAUUUCCAGUCAUAACAUCUAUAACAAUAGACUUUACCCACAAUCUUAACAAUCAAUGGGUGAUGAUAUGGGUGAGGGUGAGGAUAUGGAGUGUAUGGAGGAGGCUUAGGAGAUGGUGGAGGCAGAGAUUUAUAGUAGUAAGGCACAUGAGGAGGAUACGGUGAAGGAGGAGGUGGAGACUUAUAAUAGUAAGGUGGAGGAGGUGAAGGAGAUGGUGGAGGAGGAGAUUUGUAGUAGUAAGGUGGUGGAGGAGAUGGUGAAGGAGGAGGCGGAGACUUGUAGUAAUAUGGAGGAGGGGGUGAGGGAGAUGGAGGAGGAGGAGAUUUGUAGUAGUAUGGUGUUGGAGCUGGGUGACUUCUCAGGUGGGGGAGGAGACUUGUAGUAGUAUGGUGGUGGUGGUGAUGGUGAAGGUGGUGGUGGGGACUUGUAGUAGUAAGGAGGUGGAGGUGAUGGAGAGGUGGUGGCGGGAAUUUAUAGUAGUAAGGAGGG